UCCCUUCCUUCCUCGCCUCGCCUGGAUCCCCUUUUCCUUCGUUGGCGGCGGCUGGUUCUUCUGCUUCCUCCGCCGGCCGCUGCUUCUUCUGCUCCCUCCGCCGGCCGCUGCUUCUUCUGCUUCCUGCGCCGGUCGCUGCUUCUUCGGCUUCCUCCGCCGGCCGCUGCUUCUUCGGCUUCCUCCGCUGGGAUCCUACUCCGCAAGAGACUGCGGCCCUCGUUUUCUGUGUCUCGUGGGCUAGGGUUCAGCCAAGCUGUGCCUCUGCUAGGGUUCCCUCAAGCUCGGCGUCGUCCAGGUCCCGGUGAAGCUCGGCAUCAACAAGGUAACGCGCCCAAUCCCCCCACCCCCCGUUGUGUUCCUUGCUCCCUGUGUGAUACUGCGCGAUCUAGCCGUUUUUUUUUCAUUUAGCGUUUGGUGAAGUGUUGCUAGGGUUUUGUAGGGGGCUUUGGUCGUAGUGGUGGUGUUUUGGAUGUUCUGGAGAUUAGACAAGGGGGUUGUGUUCAGAGAUCUGGAUUAGGGGGUAUGAUUCAGCAUGAUGAUGUUAGGGGGUUGUAUUCAGAGAUUUGGAUUCAGGGGGUAUGAUUUUCAGCGUGAUGUUGUUAGGGGGUUAUGUGUUCUGGUACUUGUCCUUGAGAUUUUAUGUUUUGUUUUGUUGAUGAUGGUAGGUGCUUUGUGUAGCAUGGUCGUCUCUGUGUGUUUUCUGAAUUUUGUAGUAGCAUCUGAAGAUGACAUGGAAUUUUUUUUCACAUAUGCUUGUGUAACUAUUUAAUAGUACUGUUUCUGUGUUGGAUGAUAUUUUGACAAACCAAUUUUUUGAUUCCACUAAGAUUUUGUGCAACUAAAGUGAAGGUUCUUCAUAUUUGUGGUUCCCUCAGUUUGUUGAUUUCUUAAUCAGGCUGGAAAAUAAUUUGCCUACAUUUGCACCAUCCAAGAAAUUGUCCCUUAAAUGAUCCCCCCUCUCAUUAAUCUGGCAGCGUUGUGAUGCAUAAUCGUUUUUCUGCUGUAGGACUGAUAGACAUUUGAUAUGUGCCUAUGCAGAAAAAAGUAUUUUGUAAUUGAUAAGCAAACAUGGAAAUCUGUUUUAACUGCUUGACUGAACGCAUUCAACUGUUGGGUCACGUGUUUUAUACUUUUAUUGAUUCCACACCUAUCCUUGUCGAUUAAUUCAUAGAUGCAUCCACAAAACCCUAGCCUAGCCUAGCGUAGUGAGUGGGAAAAGCGACUUUCAGGGUUCCGGCGCGUGGGGUGUGGGGAAACGAAAUGAACGCGAACGGUAGGAAUAGGUGGAACCAACAAUCAGUGCCUACUUUUAUUGUUUGUUUGCUGUGAAGUUAUAUGUCAUUUCUUUGUUAAUCUAAUUCUUACUACAGGGGCUACUUUUUAUUUGUGCCCUUUUUUUGCCUGAGAGUGAUGUUAUGAGGAAUUGAAUAAGUAAUAGCUAAUAAUAUAAAUGCAUCCCCUGGGGUAAUAGUGCUUGCUGUUUUUGAGGUUGUUGAACUUGUGGCAUUUUUUUAUACAUUGAUUCCUGUUAAUUCACUGCUUUUAUAUUUGAUUGGAGAAUCACUGUUCUUUUAUUUUUCACAAUAAACCAUGAAAUAAGAUAUGAAUAAGAUUUGCUUAAAUGACAGUUUGAGAAUAACUUUUGUGUGCUACCCUUUUUUCACAUAUGGAUGGUUCUCAUGCUAGUUUUGUUAUUUUAGACGACUGUUAUUACGUGAUGAGAUAUAUAUUUCAUAUAGGUUGUGGUUGUGGUUUUUCAUAUAUGAUGUAAACCCCGUAAUGCAAGAUGAAACUUGCAAGAUGUGGUACUUUUUAGGUUGAUGUUUUUUAACAUUUUUAUCUGCUUUUUGCUCUUUUUAUUUAUUUUUUCAAAUGUGUUUACAUGUUUUUAAUAUACUUUCUUCUGUGUGUUUAAUUAGUCUUUGUUUCAUGACCUAAGUUUUUUUAAUUAUUAUACAGGUCUCCCUCAACUCUAAACAUGCCUAGACUUUACAAAUAUCUUGCUGGUACCAUCAAGCACAGGUUUUCUACCAUCAGGUGGCAUAAAGCAGUUUCUGAUUUAAGUGAUAAUCAAAAGUCGUUUGUUAGGAAAUAUGAGCUCGAUAAUCUUCUGAAUAUUCAUCCUCACUUAAUGGUUCCAAUACCAAUCCUUCAAUGGGUUGCGGACCACCUGAAUUGCAAUGGGACUGGAGUUUUCAGAAAGGGUGAUAAAAUAAUUCAUCUAAGAAGAGACAUGGUAAUUCAGGUUUUUGGGAUCCGUUCUGGUUCUGUGCCUUUUCUUCUGGAUAGCACAGAUCCAGUUGUUGUGGCUAGAGUGUUACAACUUAGGUCUCAGUAUCUCGGUAAUGGCCAGAAGAACAUUCAAUUUGAUAAUAUCAUCACUAUCAUGAAGAAUGACGAGACCGAGGAAGGUUUCAUGCGGAGUUUCUUAUUUCUCUUCAUAAGUUCUGUUUUCUGUCCAACCACUCGGAAUUGUGCAAAUUGGAAAAUUCUUUAUGGGCUGCACGACAUUAGCAAGCUGAAGACCUUUGAUUUGGGUCAACUUUGCAUUGAUCACUUGAACAAAGAAAUUGAUAACUUCAGCACCAAUCUAUUCAAUAGAACUGAAAAUCCAUUGAACAAUUCAAUCUAUGUUGGUGGAUGCUUACCUUUAGCUGCUGUAAGUUUUAUAAUUUUCCCUACUUUUCAUUUUUUAAAUGUAUUGUUAAGUUAUGCAAUUUUUGUUUAUAUUCACUGAUUUGUUGUUUCAUGUUCUCUUAUGACUCCCAAUAUUCUUAGAUUGUCUAUCUAGACUUUGUGGACUUCACAAAAGCUUCUCAACAACGAAGUACCAAUUAUGGAGUCCCUAGAAUGGCCUAUAUUCAGAAUGACGACUUUGACUAUCUAGGUACAGUGGACUUAAACCCAAGAUCCAAGAAGACGUUUGGAUUAGGAUUCUUACCAGUAAGCUUGUUCUAUCCUCUUUUUUUCGCAUUUGUUUAACUGACGACAAAAGUUGCAGAAAAUAGUUUCAAACAAUAAUGAGAAAAUGUUUUCAUUCUUAAUUCUUUGGAAUGACAGUUUUCUUGGUUUCAUGCUCUUGCUUUAAGAACUUUCAGAACUGUUUGUUGACUUUGUUUUUUCUUUUCAGCUGAAAUACAUUUCUAGGACACCUUACGGUGCUCGUGCAAUUGUAUUGGCUCAAGAGAAGUGGUCCAAAUCCCCACAGAGUUAUGAUGUUGAGGAAAAUCUCAUUCCAAAGUCCAAUGACAUCUCAAAUGUUGCAUCUACCUCGAACAGUAAUCCAGAAGUUAUGAAUAUAAUAUCUCAAGUUGUUGCAAAUCAUGAUGAAAUUUGGAAGAAGCUUCAUGAACAGCAUAUGCAAAAUAUGUUUUCAGAUCUCAAAACAACUCUCAUGUCUCUUCAGCCAAAUACAAACAGCCAAGUAAACAUUGCUGGUACUUCAACCAUGAAUCCUAUUGUUCUUUCAGCACGCAGCAACAUGAAUAACCAGAAUGAACCAAUAAAUGCCAACCAUCGCCCAGUCCAGAUAGUCAGUGAGCCAAUUAGAGCAUCUUUAUUGCAAGAUCAUGUACAAGUUACUCCUACUCCUGAGGUUACCUUAAUGCACAGCAACAAGGACAUCCAAGUUGAAAAAGCAGUUCCAGUUAUAGAACAAGAUUCAGUUCCUCAGCAAGUGCAGCAAACUGAGCAAGCACCUUCAGCUGUAAACAUUGUUCAGAAUGAAGAAAUUUCA